GUCAGGAGCUGUGGCACACACCUGUAGUCCCAGCUACUAGGGAGGCUGAGGUGGGAGGAUCGCUUGAGUCCAAGAGUUUUGGGCUAAAGUGCGCUAUGCCGACCAUCGGGUGUCCACACCAAGUUUGGCAUCAAUAUGGUGACCUCCCAAGAAUGUGGGACCACUAGGUUGCCUAAAGAGGUGUAAACCGCCCCAUGUCGGAAAUGGAGUAGGUCAAAACUUUCAUGCUGAUCAGUAGUGGGAUCGCACCUGUGAAUAGCCACUGCACUCCAGCCUCGGCAACAUUGUGAGAUCCCGUCUCA
rnacentral:SRP_RNA from 1 species